CCACGGGGGGCAGCAGUGGGGAAUAUUGCACAAUGGGCGCAAGCCUGAUGCAGCAACGCCGCGUGAGCGAUGAAGGCCUUCGGGUCGUAAAGCUCUGUCCUCAAGGAAGAAUACAUGACGGUACUUGAGGAGGAAGCCCCGGCUAACUGACGUGCCAGCAGCCGCGGGAAUACGUAGGGGGCAAGCGUUAUCCGGAAUCACUGGGCGUAAAGGGUGCGUAGGCGGUUUUUCAAGUCAGGAGUGAAAGGCUAUGGCUCAACCAUAGUAAGCUCUUGAAACUGUUAAACUUGAGUGCAGGAGAGGAAAGUGGAAUUCCUAGUGUAGAGGUGAAAUUCGUAGAUAUUAGGAGGAACACCAGUGGCGAAGGCGACUUUCUGGACUGUAACUGACGCUGAGGCACGAAAGCGUGGGGAGCGAACAGGAUUAGAUACCCGGGUAGUC
rnacentral:rRNA from 1 species